rnacentral:rRNA from 1 species
UGCCAGCAGCCGCGGUAAUACGUAGGGUGCGAGCGUUGUCCGGAAUUAUUGGGCGUAAAGAGCUCGUAGGCGGCUUGUCACGUCGGAUGUGAAAGCCCGGGGCUUAACCCCGGGUCUGCAUUCGAUACGGGCAGGCUAGAGUGUGGUAGGGGAGAUCGGAAUUCCUGGUGUAGCGGUGAAAUGCGCAGAUAUCAGGAGGAACACCGGUGGCGAAGGCGGAUCUCUGGGCCAUUACUGACGCUGAGGAGCGAAAGCGUGGGGAGCGAACAGGAUUAGAUACCCUGGUAGUCCACGCCGUAAACGUUGGGCACUAGGUGUGGGCGACAUUCCACGUCGUCCGCGCCGCAGCUAACGCAUUAAGUGCCCCGCCUGGGGAGUACGGCCGCAAGGCUAAAACUCAAAGGAAUUGAUCGGGGGCCCGCACAAGA